rnacentral:misc_RNA from 1 species
CGAAAACAGUCUCGUUACUCUGGCUCGAGUCAGGACGCGUCGCGACGGCUCUUCCUCGUGAAAACCGACGACUGACCUUCGAGAAAACGACUGGUGACGUUUCACAGUUACAUCGGGGCGCACAAUGCUUCUAGUGAAAAGUGUGCUGCUGCUAAUUGUGCAGCGGGAAACAAGUUACGCUGUGAACCGUGGCCAAUUUCAUUUAAUUAAGUCGAUCGCGUUCAACUUUGAACUUGCUGGGGAGACGCAUUCCGAUGGCUGUGGAAGCUUCGUCGACGAGGCAAUAUCGAAGGAAGUGAGCCAACGCGGAAAGAAAUAUCGUUAAUAAUAAGUGUAACGAACUUGUUAAACGUUUGUAUCACGUGAACUCCCUAACUAUCCUCGAACGAGGUCG